rnacentral:misc_RNA from 1 species
UGUGGGAGCGGGCUUGCUCGCGAUGCGUAUCACACGGUGUCUCAGGAUGACCGCAGCGAUGCCAUCGCGAGCAAGCCCGCUCCCACA